rnacentral:rRNA from 1 species
AUCAAUAAGCGGAGGAAGAGCAACUAACCAGGAUUCCCCCAGUAACGGCGAGCGAAGCGGGAAGAGCUCGAGCAGCCAAUCUCUGGUGUUGAUCGCCAGCGAAUUGUGGCCGGCAGAGGCGGGUGCACCCGAGGCGACUCCGUCGAAGUUGACCUGGAAAGGCACGUCGGAGAGGGUGAUAGCCCCGUGCGGGGCGGGGUCGCCGAGGGCCGCUACCGUCUUCGGAGAGUCGGGUUGUUUGGGAGUGCAGCCCAAAGCGGGUGGUAAACUCCAUCUAAAGCCAAAUAGCGGCACGAGACCGAUAGCGAACAAGUACCAUGAGGGAAAGGUGAAAAGCACUUUGGAAAGAGAGUUAAAGAGGCCGCGAAACCGUUGGGAGGGAAACGCAUGCAGCCGAACUGGCCCGCGCCGGGUUCACGGGGCGUCGGCGCGUCCGUGCCACUGGUCGGCACCCUCGCGGGGUCGCCUUUGGUCGGACCGUGUCGCACCCCUGCACUCUCGGCUGCCGUGGCCGGCCAAGUGCGGUGGGGUUCACCGGGCGAGGAGCGCUCGUCGGGUAGGUGGCGCAGCCGAACUUCGUUCGGAGGCGAACUUAUAGCCGCGAGCGCGGAGCGUCCGGGCUCCACCGAGGAGAGUGGUGGCACGUUCCACCCGUUCAGCGCAGGCCCAGUGGCCGGGGCGCUCCUGUCCGUUCUGCCGCCGCGCCGCGUCACUGCACGCAGUGUCCGGUGUUGGCGAGUGUGCCCGGGCGGGAGGUCGUCUCACGUCUUGCGCUGUGGUCGCUUGGUCAGCCGUCGGCUGCAUUCGA